UGCAGUGAAGCGCCCGACAUGGAAAAUACUGUGGCGGCGCUGCGAUAGAAGUGGAAUUGAGGUGGAAUGGAC
rnacentral:lncRNA from 1 species